rnacentral:rRNA from 1 species
GCAAGUCGAGCGGAAAGGCACCUUCGGGGUACUCGAGCGGCGAACGGGUGAGUAACACGUGAGUAACCUGCCCCUGACUCUGGGAUAAGCCUGGGAAACUGGGUCUAAUACCGGAUACGACCAUUUCUCGCAUGGGAUGGUGGUGGAAAGUUUUUUCGGUUGGGGAUGGGCUCGCGGCCUAUCAGCUUGUUGGUGGGGUGAUGGCCUACCAAGGCGACGACGGGUAGCCGGCCUGAGAGGGCGACCGGCCACACUGGGACUGAGACACGGCCCAGACUCCUACGGGAGGCAGCAGUGGGGAAUAUUGCGCAAUGGGCGGAAGCCUGACGCAGCGACGCCGCGUGGGGGAUGACGGCCUUCGGGUUGUAAACCUCUUUCAGCAGGGACGAAGUUGACGUGUACCUGUAGAAGAAGCGCCGGCUAACUACGUGCCAGCAGCCGCGGUAAUACA